AAAUGCGAUAAGUAGUGUGAAUUGCAGAAUUCAGUGAAUCAUCGAAUCUUUGAACGCACAUUGCGCCCCUCGGCAUUCCGUGGGGCAUGCCUGUUCGAGCGUCAUCUACACCCUCAAGCUCUGCUUGGUGUUGGGCGUCUGUCCCGCCUCCGCGCGCGGACUCGCCCCAAAUGCAUUGGCAGCGGUUCCUUGCCCCCCUCUUUGCGCAGCACAUUGCCAUUCGAGGCGGCGGCGGCCCGCGUCCAACAAGCUCAACCCCCCCGUCUUUGACCUCGGAUCAGGUAGGGAUACCCGCUGAACUUAAGC
rnacentral:misc_RNA from 1 species